AUGAGAUUUGCGUGGCUCUGACACUAGUACGAGAGGACCGUGUUGGACCGACCUCUGGUCUGCCGGUUGUGCCGCCAGGUGCACCGCCGGGUAUCUAAGUCGGGAUCGGAUAAGCGCUGAAAGCAUCUAAGUGCGAAGCCGGCCACAAGAUUAGAUCUCUCAGGGUCGUUGCAGACGACAACGUUGAUAGGGUGCAGGUGUAAAGGUGGCGACACCAAAGCCGAGCACUACUAAUUGCCCGUCAGCUUUCUUA
rnacentral:rRNA from 1 species